rnacentral:lncRNA from 1 species
GGAAAGGAGAAAAUGAGAAUUAGAAGACUGGAGUGCACGGAAGUUGAUAAUGCAGAUUGUUUUAAGAAAAAAAGGAGAGUUCAAUUUUGUCAAAUGCUGUUGAUACGAUCCUUUGGAUUUAGUAACAUGAAGACUAUUGGUGAACCCAGGGACAGCUAUUCCCAUGCAAGAGUGAAGAAAGAAUAGAUAAUGCUCAUUCAUCCUUUCAUUAUUUUGAUAAAUAUUAAUUGGGCUUUUUGAGGACCACAGUUAAAGCAACGAACAGACAAAUAAGAUUUCUUCUUGACCAAAAGUUACAUUAUAGCCAAGAGAGAUAAACAAUAGAAAAUUAAAAUAAAAAGACAUGGUGACUUCUGACAAUGAAAAAUAUAAUGGGGAGAACAAGGCAAAUAAUAGAUAAAGUUGUUAGUGGGAGAGCUAAGUGAGAUGGGGUGAUCUGGUCAUGUUGAAGAUCUCUGCUGCAGCUCUCUGAUGAGGUUCCUCGAAAACUUGCACUGCAACUAGGACUUCCUAAAAAGGCCUGCUUACCGGGGAUCUGUGCUAGAGAUGGUAUCCUUGACUCCUAUUGUUGUCUCCAGAUGCUUUGAUAGUGCUAGCUUGCUGACAACAUAGAUGCCUGUGUGCAUCUCUUCUAUUGAACACCUGAGCUGUAGCUCUUCUCCAGGCGCUAAAGCAGCAAUGAUUUCUCUUGAGCCCUAAAUGCUUUGAGACAAAGAUGGCUAACUAGAGACACUGGACACCAGUUCUCCUCAGAAAGAAGGACCAAAAUUACAUAUAGAUAAUCACAUCUUGAAUAGGCUAUCAAGGAGGGUUUACUAGAACCCAAUAGAGAACUCCUGGGAAAACAACAACAACAAAAAAAAACUGAGGCACAGAAAAGGAAGAAAGCAAGAGGCCAACGUGGCUAGCAUAGAUCAGCUGGGAGUCACAAGGGACUUGGUGUUGUGUGGAAAAGAGACGGGGUUUCACCAUGUUAGCGAAGAUGGUCUGGA